GUGCCAGCAGCCGCGGUAAUACGGAGGGUGCGAGCGUUGUUCGGAAUCACUGGGCGUAAAGGGCGUGUAGGCGGUCUGCUAAGUCUGAUGUGAAAGCCCGGGGCUCACCCCCGGAAGGGCAUUGGAAACUGGCGGACUCGAGUCCCGGAGAGGAGAGUGGAAUUCCUGGUGUAGCGGUGAAAUGCGUAGAUAUCAGGAGGAACACCGGUGGCGAAGGCGGCUCUCUGGACGGUGACUGACGCUGAGACGCGAAAGCGUGGGGAGCAAACAGGAUUAGAUACCCUCGUAGUCC
rnacentral:rRNA from 1 species